GCAGCCUCAUGCUGUAUGAAUGAGUGGAGGGGAGCUCGGGCAGGUUUCAGUCACCUUGGAGGGCAUUCAGCUGCUGUAGCUCACCUGCCUCACACUCCAGGGGCCAGCCCUGCCCUCCACUCCAGAUGUGGGGUCUCACGCAGGCCUCCCUCCCUGCCAGCCCCACACCAAUGUCCCAGCUCCCCAGAGAAUCCCACCUGGCACUAGAGACUUAUGUUUCAGCUGCUGGUCUUUGCCCUCUGGGCUUUGAUUCCUCCACAUACACAUUGGCAAACUCUGCCUCAUUCCAAGAGCUUCUGGGAGGGGCAAUUCAGGCACAGAGGGGAAAGGCAGAAAGGCUUUAUGGUCUCAAGUGCAAAUUACCACUCUUAAGAGAAACAACAUGCCCAGAUUCUGAGGUAAGUGGCUGUUUUGCUAAUCAGAAAAUGCCAGUAAUGGGUCUGGAUGUAAUUGUGCUCCAUUGGUACUAUCUGGAAUAACAUGGAACGUUAUAACCUGGAAGGAUGUUGCUAGGGCUGUGCCAGAAGGAAUCUUAGUACAGAUGUGGAUGACAUUUAAUUGAAAUAUUUUAGGGGCAAAAAUCAUGCUGCUAUUUUCUUUCUCAUCUGUGUUUUAAUAGAGCCAUUUCUCCCUGGAAGCUGGCCACAAGUUCUGUGUCCUGAAGCCACUCUGAGCCAGAUUCUGCUUGAGGCACACGUGAGAUGCCAUGAAAAACCUUCCCGAGCCACUGUGCUGGAUGAUAUGGAGGCACAACACUCCUUUCAGCAGCAGUGCUGAGGAAAUCUUCUUGGAGAGAUUUCUCCUUUUUUUCCAUAUGGGAUUGUUUUCACUGUACCAUCUCCAAGAAAGCUCUGCUCUGGCUUUGUUUGGCUCUGCCAUUCCUCAAAUAUGCAAUACAUCUCCUGCCUCAGUGUGUUUUGUUCACAAAAUGGGCAGUUUCCUUUGUUUUUCUGCCAGAAGUAUCUGGGUCUGAUGAACAGGGAUGAGAUUUUCAAUGCUGGGCACUUGAAUGCUGCAGAGCCAGUGCUUGAGAUCUCAGAGGCAGCAAGUUGCGACCUGUCCAUGGGGAAAAUCCCUUCAACACAGGAUGCUCCAUCAAAAGGAGAGGGCAUGUGUUUCUUGACAGAAGAAAAACACAUCUGGCUGACACCUUUCAAUAGGGUAUCAAACCUGAAAUGGGCUGGGAGCAAAGAAUGAACUUUUGAGGACUUUCAAACUUAAAAAAAAUAAUAAUAAUGCAGGCAAUGCAUUACAUGUUUUUAUGGCAAGUGUCUGCAGCCUGGGCUCUUUCAAGAAGUUCAGGUUUCUUCCUCAGACUGCAUGCUAAAAAGCCAUGACUAUAGAAUUUAAGCCACUUUUAUCUCGUCAAUGCAGUGUGUUAUUUUAUGCAUCUGAAUUAGUCCAAGAUAACAAUAAGCCUAGGUUUUACUAUAGCUUGUCAUAAUAACACGUGCAAUUUUAAACAAGUUUAUUUCUUUUAAAAAAUGCAUCUAAUUUAAAUGAAUUAUAUGUACAAUCCAGCUGCAGCUACAGUUCCAGCCGCUGUGGAAUCCAACUGAUUUCUAAAGCAAGGAAGUCCUAGAGAUUAGGUUUUUUCAUCACUAAUAAAUUUCAGCUUAUUUUCAGUCCAAAUGUGUUUAGCUUGAGCUUGCAGCUACCAGAUCCUACUGUACCUCAGCCUGUUAGCUUAAAGAGCCCUCUGCUGUCAGAAUUUCCUCCCCUGAUAUUAUGUGUAGGUGGUAACAAAACUGCUGCUGAAUCUUCAUUUUGCUGAAUUUUCAUUUCACUGAGUUACAUAGGCUGAUCUUUGCACUACAAAGCAGGUUUUUCCAAAUGCUGGAAAUCAUUUCCUGGGCUCUUUCUUGGAGUCAGUUUCAGGCUGCCCAUGUGUCUUUGCUGUCUUCGGCAGGCAGGGAGCCCUGGCUCCUGUCUGGGAUGACACAGGAGGAGGAGGAUGGUGGUGGUGGGACAGCAGCUCUGGCACUGCUUGACUUCACCAGAGGUAAAAAAGGACAGGUUGAUAAUAUGUGAGCCUUGCCAUUUCUUCAAGUGUUAUUUCUAUUUACAUAGUUACCAUUUGUGCAUUAUGUCGAAAGAAGAGGCUGAAAAACUUUCAGCUGUGACAAUUUCCUUGCAGCCUAAAAUUUCCCAAUCUCUCCUUCUUUGUGUGAGCCCAAAGCACUGUCCAGCAGGACUGCAGCUAAUGAAACCUUUUUAUUUGAAAACUAGUGGUGAAGGAAAAAAGGUAUUCUGAAGCAUCAGGCAUCUUUUCAGAUUAAAACCUCUGUUCUCCUUUUAACAGAGGGAUGGAAAUUGGUGACGUGAAUUCAUGGCAUGUGUUUCCUAUCAUAUAAUCACUGGGAGAAAUAUAAAAUAAAUGAAGGAGAAGUCAUUAGAAAACAGUUCUGGAGCUCUUUUCAUACCUCCUUCAGUAAUUACACAUGGAAACAACUCGCACCUAGUAUAUAAUUUGUCAAGCAAUCAGAUGCUUAGCUUUAAUCCCCAUCUGGCUUUGGGGACUGCUAUGAGGCUGAAGCUUGACCUCGGGAUUUGAGGUGUAACCUCCUCAGGUGUAUGGGAGGGACAUGCCUGUAUUAAGAGGGAUCUCAGCUCCAGUGGUCUGAAAUCAGCUCCCCUAAGUACAGGAAAGGCAAAUUCCCCAGAAAAGUGCUCUGUGCCCCACACAUGCCCUGUGGGUGAUGUGGGGUGUGCAGAUUGUAUAGAAUGAACUUAGAAAGAGUUGAGAGUAGUUUUAUCCUGUGUGUAACAUCCACCAGUCAGGCUUCCCAUUGUGCUUGUAGGAAUCAUUGCCUUCCAAACCUGCUAGUUCAGCCUCUGGCAUAGAGCCGUGCAUCACCACUACCAGGUGUUCACCUAACACAGGCACCUGAGCUGUCCAGGUAAAAGCUAUAAUUCAUCUCACCUGGGGGGCCUAAAUCAAACUGGAAUGACACCAGCAAACUCCAAAGAUUAGAAAAUGCUGGGACCCAGCUAAAAGCUCAAUAAUUUCUAGAAGAAUUUCUUUCUAUAGUUUUUCUUUUUUUUUUAACACCCGAGAAACUUUUGAAUUUGUGUUAGGGUUAGCCAAGGCAUAUCUGAACUGUAAAACUUUAAUAUUUUCAUGUCAAAAAUGAUUUUUCUAAAGUUAACUUUCCCCAUACUUUGACUUAUCAGUUUCAGUUGUGGUGGUGUGCAUUUCAGUUGAAGUUUUAUUACAUUAUGUUGGCAGUACAUUAUGUUUUUUACACAUGGAUUUGAUUGAGAAAUGAAACUGGAAUAAGAAUGAGGUAGCAGCAGCAUCUGCUGGGAGACGCAGCUAGUGCUGGUGUCAAUCAAUCUGAUUGAUUAAAUAUGGUGGCACACAUUUUAUUAAAACAAAAUGCUCUCCCUGAAGAAGACUAUUAUGCCAAUAUAAUACACAGCUUUCCUAAAGAACAUUACAAAAGAGGUGGUCUGUUUGUGACAUACAAUGCUUGUAAAUAACUGGAAAGAACUGAAGAGUUCAAAUUACAUUGGGCUGCUCAUGGAAACAGCUAUUUUAUUGUUUUGGCAUGUGGUAGCUGGUAUUGUUGCAUUGGCAAGAUCAGCAGCACUGAUGGAAGUUGAAUUAUCGUGUGGGACCACAAAGGGUUUUAUGCGCUCGCUGACGUUAUUGAACAGGUCCGAGGCUUUAAAGUGCGCGGUGGCUUGAGACCAGGGCUGGAGACAGAGGCACUGCCUGCCCACCCCACACCUCCAGCAAGCUGGAAUUCAUUUCCAGGCAUCCUCUCGGCUCCCUCAUUGCAAGGAUGGGUGUUCACGGUGCCAGCCUGACAAGAGAACUCCUCUGGGAAUGGACAGACACCGAAGGCACGAUUCCUGCCCUUCCAGGUGCAGACAUCUCCACCUUGCCUUCCUCUCCCAGGAGCAAAUGGGACCUGCAGUCCCUCCGCCCUGAAAUACAGCUGGUGGCAAAAGAAACCAUUUUGUGGUGUCUUCUCUGCUGUCCCCAGAGGAAGGUCAAGAGAAACAAUGACUCAUAUUCCUUGAGAUGUGCUUGGAGACUGUAGUGGUGGAGAAUUUAGGACACAAUAAAUCCUUGCAGUGUUUGCCAUCCACCUAAAAUUAUGGCUUCUGCUGGGUAUUUCAAAGAGUCCAGUAGUUUUCCACUAGUUUCACUUGGGCUGAGGUUUUACCCACCUGCACUUAUAUUCUCCACAUUAAGAUGAAUUAUGAAAAUUCUUAACCAAUGUCAAUAUUUUACUCACUUUCCUCCAAAUGUAGACAUUCAUAAUGUAACAUAGCUGUCUGCUUGCCACAUUCAUCCUCACUAAAUGUAUCCAAAUAACAUUUGUUUCAGUAAAUAAUAUAGAUAUAAACAAACAUCUGUACCACAGAAGAGUGCUACAUCCCACUCCUCGUGAGUGUGAUGACCCUGGGAUCAAACAAGUGUGGCUGUACACAGCACUGCAGGAACAGAAAUAUGUGUAACAACAUAGGGGAGAAAUGUAGAAAACAUCAGGUUUUGGUUCAUUCACUUUUCAUUUUUAUUACUGGGGUUUCUCGUGGUACCUCCUAUGCAUCAGCUCUUCUAGCUAGAGUGCAAUUCCUUGUCCUCAUGGUAACUCCUGUGGAUCUCCUCAUCAAGUUUCAGAGUGAUUCCUCAUCCUGUUUUAUUCCAUUAGGAAGAAGCGGCCUGCUCUCUGUGCCCUGAUGUCCAGAUACCGUCAAAGCCAUAAGCUGCUCCCCAAGCACUGGCUGCCCUUUGGCCAUCUCAUUCAGGGAAAUACUUUAGUGGGUGCUAGAUUUAAAACCAAGCUCAGCAGAGAAUCUCAGCAUAUUUAACAUGAUGACUUCAAAACAACCUGAGUACAGAUGGCUUAGACAAUAUCUGUGUUGAAUUUUUAAUGGCAGAUUCAGAACUAUUUUUAAGAUCCCGCUGUUAUUUCUCCUGAGAGAUCUUUUCUUAGCAAUCUAAGUAGAAAAUAAUAAUGAGGGAAAAAAACCCUUGCUAGGCAACCUCUUCAAUAUGCAGAUGGUUUCUACAGUGACACUUCUGCUCAGGCUAAUCUUUCAGGAUUGAGAUAUUUUCAGAAACAUCCAUUUGUGGGGUUUGGGUUUUUUUUACUCGCAAAGACACAGCUUUGUAUACAAAUCUUUUCUCCAUCCCCACCCACUUACUUGGUGGUUUUGAGGCUCGCUAACAACUUUUUGCAUGAACAGACAUUGCUGUCGUACUUUGCAGACCUCAGGAAUGUAGCAAAUGAUGGUGUUUGUACUUCUGCCUUCAGCAUUCAUUUCAUCAUGGAGCUCAUUGGUUUUUCUUAGAGGUUCACUACCACCUGCAUUGCAAACUUAUCCCAGUGCAAAAUUGCCCUGAAGAGCAUCAGGGCUCUGAUCUUACCAUUUUACAGUGGGAAAUGGUGUAUUUUCAAAUAUCCUCUCAAAAAGAGUCACUGACGUCAUUCUGAGCACAUCAGUCUUUGGCAGGUGACUCUCCCAUUUUUUCCUCUAAGUUUGUCUCCUUUCAUCCCCAUUAAUGUCCUGUACUCCCCACCUUUGCAGGAGCUUCUCCAUUUAGUUUCCUUGCUGCUUGGAUGCCCCUGGGCUGGGAGACUUUCUGGUUUGUGGUACUUAUAUUGUCAUCCUGAUGGAGAAACCCAAAGGCAACAUAAUCUCUGGAUUUAUGGUUAAUGUGCAAAGACAGGACAGUGAUGUGGGCUUGGGGGAAAAGCCUCAGGUUUGCUGUACAAGCAGAGGAGAGGAUGGUCACUUCAGACUUCAGUAAGCAUCUGAAUUAAAGCAAAUGCAGUGACACCACCCCUUUUGAUAUUCCCUGACAGUGCAGAAACGAAGAUUGACGUAAGAAUUUGAUUUCAUGCUAAAAUGCCAGACUGCACAGCAGUUCAAGAGUGCUGAGUAUCCUGUGCAGGUGUAACUUGCAGCAAGCCCCAGGAGCAGUCUGGGCAAAAGAAAUCACUUCAGCCAUAAUGGUUAAAUAGCUGAGAAACAUGCAUCAAUUUUUAAGUAGCAUAGAGUGAAAUGUAACAGCUCCUAAAACAUUCAAGAGCAGCCUAAACAUUGCUGAAGGAGUGAAAAUAACAUGAGACAUUAUCAAGCCUUUUCUUUAAAUCUUCAUGAAUCUGCCAGUUUUACUACCAGAGGUUCAUAGUUACAACUGUUAACCCAAAAUGCUUGUUAAUAACUGAAGUGCAUAAUAAGACUUUGAUCCAUAUUUUGACACAACUGCAAAUGCUGGAAUGGAAAGACUGGAAUGCUGCUGGGUAUGAUUACCCCUAAGAGAAAUAUUUUUAGAGUGGCUCUAUGAGAUUUUGAUCUCCUGAUAGCUAUUGAAAGCUAAUAACAUAUAUAAAAAUAUAACUAAAAUGCAGUGCUUAUACUUUCACACAGGACAAGGCACUGAUCUGUGUUUGCUAAAGUAGGUAACAUUUGCUCUGGGGAUCCUGACCAGAGACACAGCAUCAAACUGGGACCUACUGACUUCUGCACAGUCAGGAUUUUGCAUAUUAUGACCUGGAUAAAACCAAUGUUAAGUGUAAACAUUUAUAAGACUAUUAAGCCAUUGAGUGCUUGAUAGCCACCACAUCUCAAGUGCUUUUGCUGGGCACAAUGGAUACCAGCUUCUCUUUUUCCUUCUUAGGACUCAAAACCUAUUUCUUGAUAAGGAAAAUGCCCUUGAACAAUGCAGUAGGAGGGAAGACCAGCUGGAGCUCUGCUUUGUGGUUAGUUAUAUUUUGGAAUCCUAAGCAGCUGUUUGCCUAUGUCUAUAUUCAUUAGACAGGGCUUUAAAGCAAAAAGUACACCAUUCAUUAUUGUUACCACAGCAUAGACCUCCACAGCCAGCCCUAUCACAUAAUGCAAACCCAGUGAACAAACGACCAACAUAAUUUACAGUCAGCUUCCAUAAAAACCCAGAAAAAAAACUCCACAGUCCAAAAUAUCAUGGGUGGUUUUAACAACGUUGUCCACAGUGCAUGAAAUGCAAUAUUUUGGGAGUAGUAAUUGCCAUAUUUAAACCUCAGAAAGCUGCAGAUUUAUAUUUGUUCGGUUUCCCCUUAAGCUGGAUAAUAAAUCUGUACAGCCUCUUCUGGGCUUUUUUUUUGUGUGUCUCUUUUUUUUUUUGUAAGAAAGACUUCUGAGAUUAUAAUAUCUGGCUAUAUCAGGUUUGGGUUUUUUGGGUUUUGUUCUGCUUUUUAGAAAUCAAGGGAAAGAUUUUAACUGCUGGGUUGUUCUAUAUGGAGCAAAUUCUGCCCUUAGACAUCCCAUAUGUACUGAAGAUAGCACCACAGAUACAUAUGCAGAAACCAGCAGUCAAUUUUGACUCAGAAGAUAAUACACCAACUGUGUAUUAAGUUUAAUGUAGAUUAAUGUGAGUUGCUUUCCUUUGCAUGUAUGUACACAGGUACAAAUAAUUAAGAUUAAUUCCACUGGAUAUAAUGGCCUUCACUGUGCACGGUGCCAUAAAAUUCUUCUUUAAUAGCUGUUAAUUGGAUGUAUUUACUUUGAUGGUGAAGUCCUGAUUAGUCUUGUUACCCUGCAACCCCUUCCCCCUCCCUUUGAUCACUUUUGUGCUUAAGAAAAGAUUUAUAAUAAGGGAAUCACAGCUAUGCAGUUUAUUAGCAAAAAAAUCAAUACCUGUAUCUGUUUACACGUAUUAGAGGUUCAGCCAAAGAGGGGUACUCUGCAUAAUAUUUGAGGAGUAAAGAUGAUGCAUAUUUUCAUUUUUGAUUCUUUUCCCCAUGCAAUGUCUUUACUGGUAAUAACUCAGAUUUCUUACUCGAUUUCUUUUUUUUAAUCUCUUUUCUUUCUUUUGCUUCUGCACUGAACCUGAGGAAUUUCUCAGUGGUAACAAGAGGACCUCAGUACCUUCAGCAAGUUCCAGCUCCAGGACAUCAGGCGGAUGGCUGAAUUUAGGAACUGCUUCCAUACAGUGAUUCCAUGUGUUUUUUUCUGGAAAACAACCAAAGCUUCCUCAAGGAGCUGGUUUUGGCUCAACCACCUCCAGCCCAGCCAGAGAAGAAGUGAGGCUCCUCCACUCGCUUACCAAGUCAAACAGAGUGGGCUUCGUUGUGGCCCAGGUGUGGGACUCACUCAUGGCACCACAUGAGUCUUCAGCCUGACUCUGCUCCCAGCCAUGAUGAGUCACCAACCUGUGGAGGAAGAGGGAAAGGAUUCUAUUCAACAUUUUUAAGACUCUGAAGUGGUGCUGGACAAGUUUAUUAGGUAAUGAAAAUUGUGUGAUGCUGCUUAGCCUACAGGAGAAAAGUGCUAGCGCUGGUAGGAAGCUCACAAUUAGUUGGAUUAAAAAAUACGAGUCCAAACAACAUAUUCAGGAAAUUGUCACAGGCUGGAGUAUUCUAGUUGGAGGACAUAGAUGGACCCAGAAUGACAAAGGAAAGUAAGGAGAGCAGCACAACUGAGGCCAAGUGACCUGGAAAUGGUCCAGGCCUAUGAAGCCUUGUCAUAGAUACAGAUCUAGGCAAGGAUGCAAGUUGGAUGUCAGUCACAGUGCCUCACAACAGGAAGAGUUGCAGCUUUUCUUUUAUUCUCAGUUUGUAUGCUGAUCCUAAUGCCACAGUGUGCCCUUCUAGGGCUAGCUGGGCUAAAAGACUUUUUUUCCCCUCUGAGGCACAAAGGCUUCUCUUUUUAUGGCAGGAUGAAAUGGAUGGUGACAGAGACGGGAUGAGCUCACAGUAUCUUUUGAUGAAAUGUUGCAGCUGGACUUACCUGCUACCUAAGCCCCCCAAUCUUUCCAAUGCAGCAACGAUUUGCUGCUCCUGCUGCUCCCACUGCUCCCCUAUCUCUCAGUCCACAAACUUCAGAGCCUUUGCAAAACCUUCAAGAGGAUCUAAGUUUCAGCACCAAAAAUCUUAUUUCAGACAUCUAAGACCUGCUUCUGCAUCUGGCCCUUUGUGCAAGAAAAAAACCCUAGUAGUGGCUAUUACAUUUAAAUGUAAGUUGAGUGGGACCAGGAGAAUUGCUCCCUGAACUGUGCCAAAGCCCCUGUGAAGAAGUUAAGGCUGGUAUAUAUAUCAAUCACACCAGCAUAAAAACACAUCAAGGGGGGAUAAUUGUCCCCCAAGCAAGCCUUAUAUUUCACAGAAAACUCAGCUGAAGUUAGCUCAGUUAAAAUAGGCCCAAAGAGAAAGACACUGGAAAGUUCCUGAUGAUUUCUUGGGAUAUCAUAAAAUAACCUUAUAAUUAUGAUUAAAGCUUUAUUUUCUUUGGCUUCAGAACUUACCUUCUUCCCUGGCUGUGUCUCUUGGCUCCUCCAGUGACUUCUAUGGAGCAGUGGAGCAGUCUGGGUUUGGAGAGGGUCAGUCAAACACCAAGCCAACAUGCCUGGCCAUGGGGCACACUCUCCAUUUGAAUUCAUCCCUGUCUUUGUGGACUUGCAGAAUUGUACAAUAAAUCCCUGGGCUGACACCAUCAAAGACAUGACAGAGAGGGCAGAAACAUGCAAGGCACAUUGAAAUAGCCAGUUCAGCCAAACUGUUUUUGGGGCAGAUGUGACCCAAAGUAAGCCCUGCUGUGUUCAAGGCCGGGCAGCAGUUGCCUCAGCCUCCAGGCAAAUUCAUUCCUGAGGCAGUGACCAAUGACAGCCACAGAGCUGCUGCCAGAUGUGCCAGAGAUGUCCUCUCCUGGCAGGUUCUGGUUCUAAGACACAGCACACAGAGGAAACCCAAUGUCAGCCAGGGCAGAGCAUGUAUGACAGGGUGAGAGUAAAGGUGAGUACUCUCUGCUGGCUGCCAGCCCCCUGCUCCAGCCAGCCUUGACUCUAUGGUUCAAGGGUCCCUGCAAACAUUCCCAAUCCAUACUCUCUAUCCUCCUCAGUGUGUCAAGGGGAAAAUACCCUGGGGACCUUCUCAAACAGUCAAAACUGUUAUAGCUCUGGACUCCUCAAAGGAAACACUGGAAGGAAGGCUGAGACACAACCAAGAUGUCCUUCUUUUUUUUUUUUUUGGCAUACCACAGAUUUAUUUGCUUGCAAAGGAGCUGUGCAGGGCAGGGGAGCAGCAGGCAUGGCUGUUGUUUGCAGUGGAGCACCUUGAAGAAACUAAACUAGCACUCAAAGCUGAAUAAUUGGUGCAGCAGGAGGCUGUGCCCAUGCUAAUAGUUUUUGCUGAGAUGAAGCUUAUUAACAUGUUCACUGGUGCAUCUGUAUUGCCUUUGGGACUCAAACUCAGCAUGGUUCUCUGCUGUGCUGCAUAGAGGUUUUACCUUCCUCUGACCUUGCUCAGGCUCCUUUGUCCUGUUCUGCUGUGCUCUGAGUUAACCUUUUAUCUGCCUGGCUUUUUAGCCUAUAUUUUAAAUCCAGGAUAACUUUUUCAAGUGUCUUCUACACUAAAGGUUUUAGUUGUGCUGAAAGUAUUUUGAGUUCCAUUGUUAUGAUGCUUUUGGUUUGAGGAAAGUUUGUUGUGAUAAUCAGCCCAUCUCUCAACUGAAAUUUUAAGCUAUUACAAGUAAUAAAAAAAUCUCACUCUGUGCUUGCCUUACUGUUGUAGUUUGGGGCAAGAGGUGUGCAUUUACUCCACCUGAGUUCCCAGACUGAAUCCCUGUUUGAGAGAGAGAAAAUAAAAAUUAAACUGUUUUUAUAAUA